ensembl:snRNA U6 U6 spliceosomal RNA
GUGCUGGCUUUGGCGGCACAUAGAAUUAAACUGGAAUGAUACAGAGAAGAUUAGCAUGGUCCUUGCACAAGGACACAUGCAAAUUCGUGAAGUGUUCUAUACUACA